UUAAAAGUGAAAAAAAUGGCGGGAUCUGUGGUAGUCGUAGAAACCAAUCGCCAAGAGAACGAUAAGCCAGUAAACGCCAUUAAAGACCAAUGGCAAGUUCUUUUCGCUCGCUUCAUGAACUAUCCAUCUCUCCCUUCCACGUGUCCCUCUCUCGUACCUCUCCCUAAGAACCGACGAUUUCGCGCGCCUCAAGGCAACUGGAUCGCCACUUCUUUCCCAGCCGCUUCUCUACAGAUCAUCAGUGAUCUCUCAGGCUCCGAAGCGAUCCUCGUCGUUCGUUUAAGCGAGAAGAUCCUUGAAGAGCACUAUAUUUCCAAGCUGCAUUUCUCCUGGCCUCAGGUUCAAUGCAUCCCUGAAUUUCCUGCUAGAGGUAGCAGAUCUGUGUUUGUAAGCUACAAAGACUCUGCCUACGAGAUCCAGAAGUUUGCAUUGCGAUUUUCUACACUUCGUGAUGUAGAAUCAUUCAUGAAUACUCUGAGGGAGAACUUGAAGGGUGAGGAUGAAAUUGAGCCUUUAAACAGAGAUUUUGGAUCUGACUUUUCAACCCAAACAGAGUUCAUAUCUAGUAAUGGACUUCCUUCUAGAGUUUGUCAGGAGUUGAGUGAUAUGACUGCUGGCAAUUCUUACACUCCACAGAUGGAUCCCAGUUUGAGCUAUGAAAUUGAACAGCAGUCAUUUGAUCAAGAUGCCAUCCUUAAUCACAAUUCUGAAGGGAUUUUUCCAGCCUUGCCUCCCAGUUUCACAUCCUUACUGACUGAUUGCCGCUCUACUGCUGAACAAGCUGCCAAACAACCAACAGUAUCUGAGGAAAUUGAUCUCAAAUCUCAAAUUGUGAGAUACAUGGAAGAUUCUUCCUUCCAAGAGCCGACAGAGUCUUCCUCUUCUUCCCAUUGAAGCAAAAUCUUGAUGGCAGUCUCUUCAAGCUCUCGAUCCUCACUGUCAGUGAUCGAAGAUCCACACUCAGCCUUCCCUACAUAAUUCGGACUACCAUGGUUCAGUCAGCAUCACCCCCAAAUUAACUUCCAGCAACUAUUCUUUUUGGAGCAGAUCUUUCACCUUGGCCCUCUCAAUUUGCAAUAAAACAGGCUUCAUUGAUGGUACAAUUCCAGAACCUCAGGUUUUAGAUGACCUUUACAUGGCUUGGACCAGGUGCAACAAUUUAAUUUUGGCCUAGUUAUUGGAGUCAAUCAUGCCCCCAAUAGCUUCUACUGUGUUCUAUAUGAGCACAGCCUCACAAAUUUGGGACACACUAAAGAGGAGGUUUUCACAGCUAGAUGAUGUGAAGAUUUGUAACCUUCAGUUUUUUCUUUGCAGCAUCUCAUAGGGCACAAGGUCAGCGGAUGAAUAUUUUACUGAGCUUAUUACUCUGUGGGAAAAACUUAAACUAUUUAGACCAUUACCAUAUUGCAAAUGUGGAAAUAUAACCAGAAAUGUUUCCAAAAGUUCACUGAUCAGUAUGAGAAAGAUAAUGUUUUUAGGUUUUUAAAUGGAUUGAACGAAACCUACUCUGCCUUGAAGUCUCAGAUUAUCAUGAUGAAGCAUUUUCCUUCACUGGAUGAGGCUUACAAUCUAAUUCUUAGAGAAGAGUCUUGGAAAAAUCUGCACUUGCAGUCUCAUCCUUUGAUUGAAUCAUCUGCUAUGGCUGCUGUAUGUGAUGGCAAACCAAGAAACAAGUCUGAUAUUGUAUGCACACGCUGUGGGAAGAAGGGACAUUUGAAGGAAAAAUGUUACAGACUAAUUGGCUUCCCAGCAGAUUUUAAGUUCACUAAAGGCAAGUUUAAUGCAAGAAAAAGGAAUUCUUUAUCAACAGCAUCAUGACAGCAGCUCAUGCUGAUCAGAAUGAGCUGCUGGAAAACAUUACAAGUUCUAUGUCUGAAAUUAGUCUUUCAAACGAUAAAGUUCAGAAGCUUAAAGCUCUUAUCAGUGAGCAUACUUCAACUGGUGCAUAUGAUCAUGUCACAGCAAGCAAUCAGCCUACCAAACUCCCACUAAUCAAUUCAUCACAGACAGAUAUGUUGAGUAAAGUGGAGAAAAUCAUCAAUGAAGUUGAAGCUGAUAUGGUGCUGUGAUUGGCUUGUUGCCUGUGGCUUUUCUGGUUGUGUCUGAAGCACUUUGUCAUUUAUUUCUGGUUCCCCAAGUCAUGAAGUGGUGUUCAUCAACUACAUCAGGUGAUGGCCCACGGUAAAGUUGUCUCGACCCUGUUAGCUUUCAAGUAUGUUUUUGCAAAAUAAAAUAGUAAUUGCACAAUAGGAUUGUAUAGCGAAUGUACAUCAGCUGCAAAAGUAAAUAUAGCACUAUCUUUAAAAUCUGGUUUUGUUCAUUGUUUUCAUGCUGUGAUCUCUCUGCAUAUUUUGUGGUGUCUUUGUCAUAAUAUGUAGUA